rnacentral:rRNA from 1 species
GGCGGCGUGCCUAAUACAUGCAAGUAGAACGCUGAAGGAGGAGCUUGCUUCUCCGGAUGAGUUGCGAACGGGUGAGUAACGCGUAGGUAACCUGCCUGGUAGCGGGGGAUAACUAUUGGAAACGAUAGCUAAUACCGCAUAAGAGUAGAUGUUGCAUGACAUUUGCUUAAAAGGUGCAAUUGCAUCACUACCAGAUGGACCUGCGUUGUAUUAGCUAGUUGGUGGGGUAGCGGCUCACCAAGGCGACGAUACAUAGCCGACCUGAGAGGGUGAUCGGCCACACUGGGACUGAGACACGGCCCAGACUCCUACGGGAGGCAGCAGUAGGGAAUCUUCGGCAAUGGACGGAAGUCUGACCGAGCAACGCCGCGUGAGUGAAGAAGGUUUUCGGAUCGUAAAGCUCUGUUGUAAGAGAAGAACGAGUGUGAGAGUGGAAAGGUUUCACACUGUGACGGU